AACGAACGCUGGCGGCAUGCCUAACACAUGCAAGUCGAACGAGACCUUCGGGUCUAGUGGCGCACGGGUGCGUAACGCGUGGGAACCUGCCCUUAGGUUCGGAAUAACUCCCCGAAAGGGGUGCUAAUACCGGAUAAUGUCUUCGGACCAAAGAUUUAUCGCCUUUGGAUGGGCCCGCGUUGGUUUAGCGGGUUGGUAGGGUAAAAGCCUACCAAGGCGACGAUCCAUAGCUGGUCUGAGAGGAUGAUCAGCCGCACUGGGACUGAGACACGGCCCAGACUCCUACGGGAGGCAGCAGUGGGGAAUAUUGGACAAGGGGCGAAAGCCUGAUCCAGCAAUGCCGCGUGAGUGAGGAAGGCCUUAGGGUUGUAAAGCUCUUUUACCCGGGAUGAUAAUGACAGUACCGGGAGAAUAAGCUCCGGCUAACUCCGUG
rnacentral:rRNA from 1 species